rnacentral:rRNA from 1 species
UACGAAGGGGGGCUAGCGUUGCUCGGAAUCACUGGGCGUAAAGGGUGCGUAGGCGGGUCUUUAAGUCAGGGGUGAAAUCCUGGAGCUCAACUCCCAGAACUGCCUUUGAUACUGAGGAUCUUGAGUUCGGGAGAGGUGAGUGGAACUGCGAGCGUAGAGGUGAAAUUCGUAGAUAUUCGCAAGAACACCAGUGGCGAAGGCGGACUCGCUG